rnacentral:rRNA from 1 species
UACGGAGGAUCCAAGCGUUAUCCGGAAUCAUUGGGUUUAAAGGGUCCGUAGGCGGCUUUAUAAGUCAGUGGUGAAAUCUCACGGCUCAACCGUGAAAUGGCCAUUGAUACUGUAGGGCUUGAAUUACCAGGAAGUAACUAGAAUAUGUAGUGUAGCGGUGAAAUGCUUAGAUAUUACAUGGAAUACCAAUUGCGAAGGCAGGUUACUACUGGUUGAUUGACGCUGAUGGACGAAAGCGUGGGUAGCGAACAGG